rnacentral:rRNA from 1 species
GUUGAUCCUGGCUCAUGAUGAAGCUCGUGGCGGUCUGCUUAACACAUGCAAGUCGAACGCAACCUUCGGGUUGAGUGGCGGACGGGUGAGUAACGCGUGAGAAUCUGCCUUGGGGUCGGGGACAACCACUGGAAACGGUGGCUAAUACCGGAUAAGCCUUUGGGUAAAAAAUUUAUUGCCCCAAGAGGAGCUCGCGUCUGAUUAGCUAGUUGGUGAGGUAAAAGCUCACCAAGGCAGCGAUCAGUAGCUGGUCUGAGAGGACGAUCAGCCACACUGGGACUGAGACACGGCCCAGACUCCUACGGGAGGCAGCAGUGGGGAAUUUUCCGCAAUGGGCGAAAGCCUGACGGAGCAAGACCGCGUGAGGGAGGAAGGCUCUUGGGUUGUAAACCUCUUUUCUCAGGGAAGAAGCUCUGACGGUACCUGAGGAAUCAGCCUCGGCUAACUCCGUGCCAGCAGCCGCGGUAAUACGGAGGAGGCAAGCGUUAUCCGGAAUUAUUGGGCGUAAAGCGUCCGCAGGUGGCGAUUCAAGUCUGCUGUCAAAGCACGGGGCUUAACUCCGUUAAGGCAGUGGAAACUGAAUAGCUAGAGUGCCGUAGGGGUAGAGGGAAUUCCCGGUGUAGCGGUGAAAUGCGUAGAGAUCGGGAAGAACAUCGGUGGCGAAAGCGCUCUACUGGACGGCAACUGACACUCAGGGACGAAAGCUAGGGGAGCGAAUG